rnacentral:rRNA from 1 species
UGGGGAAUCUUGGACAAUGGGCGCAAGCCUGAUCCAGCCAUGCCGCGUGGAUGAUGAAGGCCUUAGGGUUGUAAAAUCCUUUUCGCCGAGGACGAUAAUGACGGUACUCGGAGAAGAAGCUCCGGCUAACUUCGUGCCAGCAGCCGCGGUAAUACGAAGGGGGCUAGCGUUGUUCGGAUUUACUGGGCGUAAAGCGCGUGUAGGCGGGUCGUUAAGUUGGGGGUGAAAUCCCGAGGCUCAACCUCGGAACUGCCUUCAAAACUGGCGACCUGGACCUAAGUAGAGGCAAGUGGAAUUGCGAGUGUAGAGGUGAAAUUCGUAGAUAUUCGCAGGAACACCAGUGGCGAAGGCGACUUGCUGGACUUAUGGUGACGCUGAGACGCGAAAGCGUGGGGAGCAAACAGGAUUAGAUACCCGUGUAGUCCCUGAGCGGGCUGGCAAGGCGCAU